GGCGGUCUGCCCUACUCGUGACGAGGUCAAAUUCCAGUGGCCUUAACGACUCUCGAGGGAGCUGGCUCUGUCCGGGCCCUGGUCCGGUUACCCGGUGCCCACCUGUAUAUGCAGGCUCUCGGGAAUUAGUUUACCUCGACGGUUGCGUGCGGUCCCGCC
rnacentral:misc_RNA from 1 species